UUUUGUGAUGCAGAUUAUGCGAGAGAUAGGGUGGAUAGAAGGAGCACAUCCGGCAUGUGUUGUUUCCUUGGAAGCUCACUCAACAUGUGGUCAAGCAAAAAAUAAGCCAUAGUGGUUCUAUCCACAACUGAAGCUGAAUAUAUUUCUACAUCUGCAUGUUGUUCACAACUAAUUUGGUUAAAAACGCAGUUGGAAGAUUACAAAUUAAAGAUCAAUAGUAUACCCUUAUUUUGUGAUAAUAUGAGUGCUAUAAACAUCUCAAAAAAUCUAGUUCUGCACUUAAGAACCAAGCACAUUGAAAUCAAAUAUCAUUUUAUUAGAGAACAUGUGCAAAAGGGUACUAUUGAUAUUCAAUUUGUAAAAUCUGAAGACCAAUUCGCUGACAUUUUUACAAAAUCCCUCUGUUAAGACAGAUUCUGCACUUUGAGAAAAAGUUUGGGAAUGAUAGAUUUAAGCUCUAUUGAUAACUUGUGAAAUUCUUGAUUCUGUUCAGUUUUGUCUUGUAGGAAAGCAGGAGAUAAAAAUCAGGAUGUGUUGAAAGGGCUAUGAUCAAGGGAGAGACUGCGCAGACAUUAAUUCUUUUGGGCCCCACCAAACUUCUUUGACCCCACUCUGACCAUUUUGUUAGUUCCUCUUUGUGUAAAUUACAAUUCCUUUUUGUUUCCUCAUCAAAUCUUGUUGGAAGAGGUUAUUGUCAAAUUAAAUCUUUUCCCUCUUCUUAUCCCUUGAUUAUAGGAAACAACUUUUUUGUUUUAAUUUCAAAUAAAAGGAAACCUCCAUUGGUUAAUAACCGCCCAUUAAUGAGUAUUAACUCCCUCCAAUUCUCUCUCCACUCAACAUUUAAUGCGUCCUUAACCUCUCUCUUCUCUCCACUCAAUUCGGUUCUCUCUUCAUCUUCCCCCUCCCACUUCUCCAUUUUCAUUAUCAUGAAAAAGAAAACUACCCCAAGGAAAAGUGAACGAGUCCUUCUCUCCCAAAAACCUACCACUUCUCAAACCCACACUCAUAUACACAUUCAUUCUACCUCUUCAUCUUCUCCCUCACCACCAUCCAAGCACACGGACACCAUAAGGAGAAAAGUGAUAGCAACGAAGACUUCUUCUAGGAAAAAGAAAGAGAAGGUACCCGUGGCUGAAGAAGAAGAAUCCCACACCUCACCUCCUCCAUCACCUCCGCCAUCACCACCGAAAAAGACCACCCCUGGACGCAAUUCACAGAAAACCAACAGAUUUGUGUUGCACAACACCAGGGAACCAGCAAACUUGGAAUCAUUGGACUUCAAAAAUAAGUUCAACAAACCUCACUCACACUAUGACCCAGCCAGGUUCAAUUCGUGUGCUUCUUAUGAAUUCCACAAGGAAGUGUUGGAGAAGCGCCACCUCUGUGCCACCUACCUAGUGAAUCUGGACUCACUCACAGCAAAAGGAAUUAACGUCUCUCCUCUGUUUGAAAAUAUGAAAUGGACUUCUCUGCUCCAUAUUCAGAAACAUGUUUACCCUGGAUUGGUACGAGAAUUUUAUACUAAUAUGAGACUGAUCGAUGGUACCAUCCACUCUUACGUAAAGAAGGUAUACAUGACUCUGAAUUCUGAGACCAUCAGCGCUGCCAUAGGCUAAACAGAUGAGGGACCAAGAGCGUACAUGACUGAAAAAUGGGACUCUCAGGUCGGGGUCACAUACAAGCAAUCCCUUCAAAUCUGUGAGAACUUGUCUGGAUUGGAUGGCACCAUUCCUACUCAUAAGGCCCUCAGACCAACAAACUCUCUUCUGCACCGAAUCAUCACCUAUAUUCUGACUCCUCAAAGUGGUUCACAUAACAGAGUAACUAUUUCUGACUCUCUUGUACUUUUUGCUCUUGUUACUUCUACUCCUAUCUCAUUUGGAUACCUUAUGAUAAGGCACAUGUGGGAAUCUGUUAAGAGUACCAAAAAGGUAAAUCUGCCUUAUGACAUAUUUUUCACCAGUAUUUUUGAAUAUUUUAAAGUUGAUUUAACCAAUGAAGCUGUAGAAAAUAAGGUAUCAAUGAUUAAAGGAGGAGGAGCUAUGAAGGGAACCAAAGGGAAGAAGUCAGUACCCUCGAACAGUGAGUUUGAGAGUCGGCCUGAGUCUUCCAAGACAACAGAAUCGAUCAAAGAAAUCCUCACUGAAUUCUCCAACAUGUCGGAGCUAAUGGUACAAUCCUAUAAGGCAGCCCGCAAGCAAGCCUAUGAAAAUGAGAGGGUGUGGAUGAGGUGAAAAGAUAGGGUAGGUCUAAUGUUGCAGAGUUUUGAGGAGGAGAUAGGUGCUGCUAGUGAAGAGGAGGCAGAUGGCUCUGAGUUCAACUUAUCAGAUGAUUGAUCACUGUUUUCUUCUUAUAUUUGAUAUUGGCUUGUUCAGGCUCAAUUUGAUACUGUAGUAGUCUGCUUGGAUACUUUAGACCUAUGACAUUGUGAUAAACUCUUGGUAUUUUGAUUAUAUUUUGCUUCCAAUGUCAUUUUUUUUGCAGGUGCCCCUUGAUGCCAAAAGAGGGAGAAAUGGCUAAAAAAAUUAAAACUAAGAAAACAGGAGAUGAAAUCCUAUGUGGUUUUGGAUUCAUGAUCACCCUUGUUUUAAUCUUUUGUUGUGGUGAUCUACUUGAUGUUAAUGCAUCUGUUUUAUCUUGGUAAAAAUGUUUGCUGCUGCUUGAUGCUUGUGAUGCAUUUGUUUCAUAGAUAUGCCUGCUGAGUUUUGGAUUAGAAAUAUGCAUUUGAUUUAUUUUGAGGAUGCAAUUGAUUUACAUUGGUGAAUAUGUUUGUUGCUAUGGAUUAGGAAUAUACAUUUGAUUUACCUUGGUAAAUAUGCUUGCUGAAUACUUUAUUUUUGGCAGUUCCUUUAAGCUGUGGUAUGAAAAUAAAUUUUGAUAGUUGCUAUGAUUUGAGAUAAUCAUGCUUGAUUAGAAAUAUUUUCCUUGCUCUGAUUAUUUUGCUCUGAUAUACUGUUUAGGAAAAUAUCUUCGAAUAGCUUGAACAGCAAUUUCUUGAAACACCAAAAAUAUUUUCGGUUGAUAUGUACUCAAUUGCAUUGUGUGUGUUUGAGCAGAAAAUCAAUUUAUGAUAAACAAAUGAGUUUUGCUUAUCAAACAAAUUCUGCUCAUAAAUCAAGCAUUCAACAUUUCAAAAAUUAAUAUGUUGAAUAACAUAGUUUCCUUAAGCUUGAUUUCUAAAGUUACAGGUAUAAAGCUUCCCUUGGUAAAAUAGCAUACUUUAAGGGGAGCCAUGCAACAAUUGAAAAGGAAGGAAUCCAAGUAUUCACAAAGGGAGUACUCUAACUUUUUUAUUUCUUUCCAUUUCAAUUUUUAAUAAUGUUUGUCAUCAAUGGGGAGAUUGAUGAGUUUGGAAAACUCUAUUUUAAAUUAGUGAUAAAUGAAUAUUAUUAAUGUGAUUAAUUGCAAAAUUAUUAAUGUAAUCUCAAUUCAUACUUGCUUAAUUAAUAAUUUUGUUGGUGCAGAUUUUGCUAUUGGGCUGAACAGAAAAGAAAAAAUACUGCAAGCCCAAUUGUAUUAAAAAUACAUUCAGCAGUGAUACAAAAUUAUUUUUAUCUUUGUGGCUGAAUUGGUGUUAUGUUAUUUGGGCCAGAAUUUGUGAUACAAGCUCAAUUGAAAUUCUUGCUCCAAGACCAUUAAAGUUGGUCCGAAACCAAUAUUGAGAGAAAGCAAAUAUUUUGCUUCAUACUUCCAACGGAUCUACUUUGUUUAUCAUGUGAUGGAAUUCAAAAUUUUAUUAAGGAGAGUUAAUGUAGACCUUAGAACAAUGAGAGAGAAAUUGUCAUUGAUUUGAUUGAUGGGCUUAAUGCUACAGGCUACUCAGCAAAGGGCCAACUAGGUGUAUAUACAGUGUGAGACGGCAACAAAAUAUGCCCAUGCAUGAAAGGAUCAUCCUGUAUUUAGAGAGGGCUGGAUUGUAUCAUUUGGCUAGGCUAAACAGCCACUGGUUCUGGUUGGAUGAACUCUUGGUCAGUGUGUUCGUUGAGAGGUGGCAUCCUGAGACGCACACAUUUCACAUGCCUUUCGGAGAGUGCACAGUGACAUUGCAAGAUGUGGCGUUUCAGCUAGGGUUGCCUGUCGAUGGGUGGGCCGUGAGUGGUUGCCUUGGGGAGUUUGAGAAAUUCAUGGAGGGUGGCCGACCAUCUUGGGAGUGGUUUUAGGAUCUAUUCAGUGAGCUACCACCACCGAAUAAGGUCAAGCAGAUGACGGUCCACUUUAUAUGGUUCCACGAGAGGUUUAGGGUGUUAUCAGUAGAUGCGACCGAGGACACUGUCCGCAUUUACGCACGUACCUACAUCAUAAUGCUGUUAUCCACUCAGUUAUUUGGGGACAAGAGUGCGAACCAGGUAUAUAUAUGGUAGUUGUCAUUUGUGGCGAACCUUGAUGAUAUGGGGAGGUGUAGCUGGGGGUCGGCCGCUUUGGCGUGGUUGUACCGAUGCAUGUGUCGGGUUGCGAACAGAAACGUGACCAACCUUGCGGGUCCUCUCUAUUUGCUACAGAGUUGGAUAUUCUGGCGGUUUCCGUCGCUUAGGCCGCCUGGGUUUGAGGUUUUCUCCUUUCCGCUGGCAUCCAGGUGGUCUGCUUACUUACCUCCGAACGAUGGCAAGGAAUAGAGGGUCAUAAAUUAUCGUCUUGCGUUGGAUCGGUUGACCGUUCGCGAUAUUGUAUGGGAGCCCUACUCCGCGCUUGAUGUACUUAUUGUGGUCCAUCUGGAGAUACUUAUGGAGGAGCAUUGUCGCAUAUGGCGAGCGGUCACUACUUUGAUAUACUUUGCGGUCAUCGAGUGGCAUCAGGUUGACAGGUUGUCCCAUAGCUUGGUGGAGUGUAGCAUAUCCCCGAGGGGGCUUUGAACAUAGACUGGCUGCAUGCUAAGGACGGGAGGGGAGGAGAUAGGUGGUUCCCCCAUUACUAUCAGGCCUGGCAUUUACACUGGGGGAACAGACUUGAUGCAGUCAUUUUGAUCGAUUGAGUGGCAGAUCCUGGUCCCUCCUCUGAUUAUUUAGAUUGGUGGUACCGAGCGGCACAUAGGUUCCUUAGCCCAGGGGCAGCAUUUACAGAUCCUAGGGGCACCGAGAUACCGCCAGAGGCCUUUCAGAGAGGAUCAUCUCAGGUCCCAUGCAGAUCACAGCUACCUGAUAUGCCGGACAAUCGGCGUAUUGAGAGACGCCGCUGUGCUGGUACCCGGGACACCGGUCGAGAGUGGCGAUGGUUAGAUGAUAUGAUGCAGGAGGAUGAUGCAGGCAGGGAUGCCAGAGUUGGGGGCAAUCACCGUGUUCGUCAGGUGAGGUCCAGACAUAGGGGCACUGGAGGUGGCACCCAGUUCCGCGAUGGAGUUAGUGGGGACACAGCGACUCAGGCUGGAGGCGGGACACACAUCGGUAGAUCCUACUCUCCGAUGCCUGAGCCGAGUUAGCAGAUGUUUGCUGAUCUCGGUACGGCGACGAUGACUGUGGAUUUAGAUGAUCAGAUGGGUUGCUCAUAGUUUUAUGCAGAGUUUGCUGCGAUGAUUGGGGAUGAUGCUGGCCCGUCCCAUGGUCAGUUCGAUGCCCCACCUUACCACCUGCAGAUGCCGGAUGUGCAGUUCGAUACCACAGCUUACCACCCAUAUAAGACAGAGAUGCAGUCCUAUGCACCUGACUACCAGGGACAGUAUGUGGUGGAUCUUAACGAGCCUGCAGGUAGCCCGUUGGAUACUUGGUUCACCAUGGGAGGGACCCCCAGUCUGCGUUUGGGUUAGACCCUCCGGUUGAUGACACUGCACAGGAGGCGGCCCGCCCAGCUAGAGUCAGGCGUCCCACUCACUGUGGGACAGGAUCUCAUCUGCUUGGGCCUUUUGAUGCUGCCGCCCAGGAUGAUCGCGAUGAUUAGUCUGUUGUGUUGUAUUUUUAUUUUGGGUAUGUGAUUUAGACCUUUGUUAGUGACUUUAUGUUUAGUUAUUAUGGACGACUGUUAUUUGGGAUAUUCAUUUACUACUAUAUGGCUUAUGAUAUAUUUAUAUUCAUGACUAUAUGCUCAUUUGUAUAAAGGAAGUCGACUUUUCAUU